AGUGAACGCUGGCGGUAGGCCUAACACAUGCAAGUCGAACGGCAGCACAGUAAGAGCUUGCUCUUACGGGUGGCGAGUGGCGGACGGGUGAGGAAUACAUCGGAAUCUACUUUUUCGUGGGGGAUAACGUAGGGAAACUUACGCUAAUACCGCAUACGACCUACGGGUGAAAGCAGGGGGUCUUCGGACCUUGCGCGAUUGAAUGAGCCGAUGUCGGAUUAGCUAGUUGGCGGGGUAAAGGCCCACCAAGGCGACGAUCCGUAGCUGGUCUGAGAGGAUGAUCAGCCACACUGGAACUGAGACACGGUCCAGACUCCUACGGGAGGCAGCAGUGGGGAAUACUGGACAAUGGGCGCAAGCCUGAUCCAGCCAUACCGCGUGGGUGAAGAAGGCCUUCGGGUUGUAAAGCCCUUUUGUUGGGAAAGAAAAGCAGCAGGUUAAUACCCCGCUGUUCUGACGGUACCCAAAGAAUAAGCACCGGCUAACUUCGUG
rnacentral:rRNA from 1 species